AAAAACACCGACAGCCGAAACGAAUGACAAAAUAAACAAUCCCGCAAAAAACAAGGGCGGGACCUACAUAAUAUACAGACACUAAUUAACUAAACAACACACAGGUGAAAACAAUCAGACAAAACCAACAGAUACACGAAAAGGGAUCGGUAGUGGCUAGUAGGACGGUGACGACGACCGCCGAGCACCACCCGAACGGACAGGAGAUCCAACCUCGGCGGAACUCGUGACAGUAAACACAACAAAAUGUGGAAAAAGUAAACGGGCGUGAAUACUUUCGGAAGACAUGCAACGACGCAAGGCAAUGCAAUGUCCCCUUCACUGGCACAGGACAUUGGAUCUCCUUAGACCAGAGGGAAGAGGGCCCCCUACUGGACCUCCAACACCACUUCCAGCAGCAUCUGGUCUCCCAUUCAUGGACUGACCAGUACUGACCCUACUUAGCUUCAGCAGUGGGAUGCAGGGUAGUAUGCAUCUGGCUGUGAAUAAUGUACAGUUAGGUCUUGUAUGCCAUUGUUGGUGUAGCACUACUGAAGACUGACGGUUCAUAUAUUUGACUGUUUAUCUUAGUGUUUACAGUGGCUGCCACUCUAAUAUUUAACUUUAUUGUCACAGUGUGAAAACAAAGUUAUUUGGACAAUUUUAAAUCCCCCUUUGUCUUCAUUGGCUGCUUCCCCCUUGUUUACAUGUCAUCAGGUUCAAACGUACCACUCGAUAAUAAACCUUUGUUGAGUUACUAGUAGGUAUUUUUUUUAGGCAUUUCCAAUGCUAUAUUUUAGCCCCAUGUCUCAACACCGACAGGACGUUAGUUUCCCAGCGAGAGAAAACAAAGGGGGAGAAUUUCAGGAAGGAAAGUAAAGCAACAAAGAAAAAAGGCCCCCUGUCAGCUCUCUCUCACAUUACUUCCUUAACUGGAUCAUACAGUAGUUUAUACACGCCAUCUGUUCAAUGUCAGGAUUUUCUUGACUUAAAACAAGUUAUAUUGUACAUUUCCAAUCCUACUGUAUUAUUUAAUUAUUAUUGUAGCCUACUACAGUGUACAUUUUUCAAUCCUUCAAUAUAUCAGGAUUUUUACUCGUAUCAGGCUUGAAAAUGUUAAAAGGAUAAAAAGAAUGUCAUGAAAAAUGUUAGGACAAAAUUAUGUGAUUUUUUUUAUGAGAGCAUUGUAACUGCCCUCAUCAGAGAUGGUCUAUAAUGUCGUAACGAGUUUUAAAUGUGACAUUUAUAACUAUGACAGAAUAUCGUAAAAAGUUAACCACCCUCAUCAAACCUAACAACAGUGCUCAUCCAUACAUAGAAAUAGAAUAAGCAUUCUAGUUCUGGAUUCAUUUCAGUUCUAGAAUCAUUCUAGUUCUGUGGCUCCACAUGCCCAGGGUUGGAGGCAGGCCAGGCCAGCGGUGGUUAUGCAAGACAUAACAUUAAGGACUGAAUACAUAAUUAAAGACAAGUCUGUUUUCCAAAUGGCA